rnacentral:rRNA from 1 species
UGAGGAAUAUUGCACAAUGGGCGCAAGCCUGAUGCAGCGACGCCGCGUGGGUGAAGAGGGUUUUCGGAUCGUAAAACCCUUUUCUGUGUGACGAGCAAGGACGGUAGCACAGGAAUAAGUCUCGGCUAACUACGUGCCAGCAGCCGCGGUAAAACGUAGGAGACAAACGUUAUCCGGAGUUACUGGGUGUAAAGGGCGUGCAGGCGGCAGUCUAAGUCUGGCGUGAAAGAUCCCGGCUUAACCGGGGAAGGUCGUCGGAUACUGGGCAGCUAGAGGGCGGUAGAGGCGUGUGGAAUUCCGGGUGUAGUGGUGAAAUGCGUAGAGAUCCGGAGGAACACCAGUGGCGAAGGCGACACGCUGGGCCGCACCUGACGCUAAGACGCGACAGCAUGGGGAGCAAACAGGAUUAGAUACCCAUGUAGUCCCUGAGCGGGCUGGCAAGGCGCAU